UUGGCCCAAAAGUUCGUUUGGCUUUUUCCAUAACAUCUUACAGAAAAACCUGAAUGAACUUUUGGGCCAA
rnacentral:miRNA from 1 species